AAUAUUUCGCAAUGGAGGGAACUCUGACGCAGCGACGCCGCGUGAGCGAUGAAGGNCUNNGGAUCNUNAAGCUCUGUCCUUGGNNNNNAAGGGUGCAUUCUAGCAUCUUUACGAUCCUCGAGUAGGAAGCCCUGGCUAACUACGUGCCAGCAGCCGCGGUAAUACGUAGGGGGCAAGCGUUGUCCGGAAUUACUGGGAGUAAAGGAUGCGUAGGCGGCCUUUUAAGUCAGGUGUGAAAGCCCACGGAUUAACCGUGGGAUUGCAUUUGAAACUGGAAGGCUUGAGUAUCGGAGAGGGUAGUGGAAUUCCCAGUGUAGCGGUGAAAUGCGUAGAUAUUGGGAGGAACACCAGUGGCGAAGGCGACUACCUGGACGAAAACUGACGCUGAUGCACGAAAGCUAGGGGAGCAAACA
rnacentral:rRNA from 1 species